CUGAAGGAACACAGAGAAGGAGCAGCGCACGGUGCAAUGAAGGACCUCUGAAGGUAUACUGUGGAAUCUGGCACCAAGACUUUGGCAGCAGAUCCUUUAAUUCCUGUGUGAUGUAAAUCCUAUGACCCCGA